CGAGCGGGGUGAUGUAGCUUGCUACAUUACCUAGCGGCGGACGGGUGAGUAAUGCUUAGGAAUCUGCCUAUUAGUGGGGGACAACAUUCCGAAAGGGAUGCUAAUACCGCAUACGUCCUACGGGAGAAAGCAGGGGACCUUCGGGCCUUGCGCUAAUAGAUGAGCCUAAGUCGGAUUAGCUAGUUGGUGGGGUAAAGGCCUACCAAGGCGACGAUCUGUAGCGGGUCUGAGAGGAUGAUCCGCCACACUGGGACUGAGACACGGCCCAGACUCCUACGGGAGGCAGCAGUGGGGAAUAUUGGACAAUGGGGGGAACCCUGAUCCAGCCAUGCCGCGUGUGUGAAGAAGGCCUUAUGGUUGUAAAGCACUUUAAGCGAGGAGGAGGCUACCUAGAUUAAUACUCUAGGAUAGUGGACGUUACUCGCAGAAUAAGCACCGGCUAACUCUGUGCCAGCAGCCGCGGUAAUACAGAGGGUGCGAGCGUUAAUCGGAUUUACUGGGCGUAAAGCGUGCGUAGGUGGCUAAUUAAGUCAAAUGUGAAAUCCCCGAGCUUAACUUGGGAAUUGCAUUCGAUACUGGUUAGCUAGAGUAUGGGAGAGGAUGGUAGAAUUCCAGGUGUAGCGGUGAAAUGCGUAGAGAUCUGGAGGAAUACCGAUGGCGAAGGCAGCCAUCUGGCCUAAUACUGACACUGAGGUACGAAAGCAUGGGGAGCAAACAGGAUUAGAUACCCUGGUAGUCCAUGCCGUAAACGAUGUCUACUAGCCGUUGGGGUCUUUGAGACUUUAGUGGCGCAGCUAACGCGAUAAGUAGACCGCCUGGGGAGUACGGUCGCAAGACUAAAA
rnacentral:rRNA from 1 species